AUGUGGGUGGCUCAGUCGGUUGAGCAUCUGACUUCAGCUCAGGUCAUGAUCUCAUGGCUCCUGAGUUUGAGCCCCACAUC
rnacentral:tRNA from 1 species